CUGCAGCCCGAGUGGUGAUCGAUUUUAUUGGGCCUAAAGCGUCCGUAGCCGGUUCGGUAAAUCUCUGGGUAAAUCGUUGGGCUUAACUCAACGAAUUCUGGGGAGACUGCCGAACUUGGGACCGGGAGAGGUCGGAGGUACUCCAGGGGUAGGGGUGAAAUCCUGUAAUCCUUGGGGGACCACCGGUGGCGAAAGCGUCCGACCAGAACGGGUCCGACGGUAAGGGACGAAGCCCUGGGGCGCGAACCGGAUUAGAGACCCGUGUAGUCC
rnacentral:rRNA from 1 species